rnacentral:tRNA from 1 species
GGUGGGGUUCCCGAGCGGCCAAAGGGAGCAGACUCUAAAUCUGCCGUCAUCGACUUCGAAGGUUCGAAUCCUUCCCCCACCAUUU